rnacentral:rRNA from 1 species
AACGAACGCUGGCGGCAGGCCUAACACAUGCAAGUCGAGCGAGGACUUCGGUUCUAGCGGCGGACGGGUGAGUAACGCGUGGGAAUGUGCCCUUCUCUACGGAAUAGCCCUGGGAAACUGGGAGUAAUACCGUAUACGCCCUUUUGGGGAAAGAUUUAUCGGAGAAGGAUCAGCCCGCGUUGGAUUAGGUAGUUGGUGGGGUAAUGGCCUACCAAGCCGACGAUCCAUAGCUGGUUUGAGAGGAUGAUCAGCCACCCUGGGACUGAGACACGGCCCAGACUCCUACGGGAGGCAGCAGUGGGGAAUCUUAGACAAUGGGGGCAACCCUGAUCUAGCCAUGCCGCGUGAGUGAUGAAGGCCUUAGGGUUGUAAAGCUCUUUCAGCUGGGAAGAUAAUGACGGUACCAGCAGAAGAAGCCCCGGCUAACUCCGUG